rnacentral:rRNA from 1 species
AUGGACUCCCAUUCCCAUUCCCAUUCCCAUUCCGAUUCCAACCCCAACUCCAAUCCACAGCAUUCUUCUUCUUCUUCUUGUUGUUGUUGUAAUGGAUUUGGAGGAGGAGGAGGAGGAGGAGCUGCUGUUGAUGCUCCUAGUACAACAAAUAAGGAGGCGGCGGAGGAGGAGCAACAACAACAACAAGAAGAAGAAGAUUUGGGCUUGAAGCUGCAGCUGCAACAACAUGUAGAUGAGGAGGAGGAGGAGGAGGAAGAAGAAGAGGAGGAUAACAAGACCAAGCCCACCACAAGAAGAAGAAAAGUGGUUCGCUUCAACGACUGCAGCCUCACCCAGGUCCUCGAGUUCCAGCCUAGCAGCUCCCGUGAGGACGCCAUCUCCUUGUGUGCCCGGCUUUGCACUUGGCUCUGCGGAUCAGAAACUACUGAUGAUCAUCAUAAUCAUAUUCAUCCAUCCUCAUAG